UACGUAGGGACCAAGCGUUGUUCGGAUUUACUGGGCGUAAAGGGCGCGUAGGCGGCGUGGUAAGUCACUUGUGAAAUCUCCGAGCUUAACUCGGAACGGCCAAGUGAUACUGCUGCGCUAGAGUGCAGAAGGGCAAUCGGAAUCUUGGUGUAGCGGUGAAAUGCGUAGAUAUCAAGAGGAACACCUGAGGUGAAGACGGGUUGCUGGGCUGACACUGACGCUGAGGCGCGAAAGCCAGGGGAGCAAACGGG
rnacentral:rRNA from 1 species